rnacentral:lncRNA from 1 species
CCCAAUGGGGUUACAUCACAUAUAUUGAGUUUGGUUACAUAAGCAUCAUUAAAAUCAUGUACUCAAAGGGAUUAACGACAAACUGGGGUCAAGCACAACUAUGAACCUCAAUAGAUCUCAUUACAUUACAUUUCCAUACUAAACUUAUACAUAACUGUACUCAACAUAACAUAUCAACAUUUUAUCAUGUCCACACUAACUAUUACAUGACCAUGACUUCAUUACUCUUGCUGACCUCCUGGUCUACCCUGUACCUGCAAACCU